UGGGGAAUAUUGCACAAUGGGCGCAAGCCUGAUGCAGCCAUGCCGCGUGUAUGAAGAAGGCCUUCGGGUUGUAAAGUACUUUCAGCGGGGAGGAAGGGAGUAAAGUUAAUACCUUUGCUCAUUGACGUUACCCGCAGAAGAAGCACCGGCUAACUCCGUGCCAGCAGCCGCGGUAAAACGGAGGGUGCAAGCGUUAAUCGGAAUUACUGGGCGUAAAGCGCACGCAGGCGGUUUGUUAAGUCAGAUGUGAAAUCCCCGGGCUCAACCUGGGAACUGCAUCUGAUACUGGCAAGCUUGAGUCUCGUAGAGGGGGGUAGAAUUCCAGGUGUAGCGGUGAAAUGCGUAGAGAUCUGGAGGAAUACCGGUGGCGAAGGCGGCCCCCUGGACGAAGACUGACGCUCAGGUGCGAAAGCGUGGGGAGCAAACAGG
rnacentral:rRNA from 1 species